rnacentral:tRNA from 1 species
GGGCCCGUAGUCUAGCGGCUAUGAGGGGUAAGCGCUUAGCUUCUCCCUAGCAAACGCCACCCUUACGAGGUGGAGGUCGAGGGUUCGAACCCCUCCGGGCCCA